rnacentral:rRNA from 1 species
AUAAGCGUUGGAAACGACGUCUAAUACCGGAUACGACCCUCGGAGGCAUCUUCAGGGGGUGGAAAGAAUUUUGGUCAAGGAUGAGCUCGCGGCCUAUCAGCUUGUUGGUGAGGUAAUGGCUCACCAAGGCGACGACGGGUAGCCGGCCUGAGAGGGUGACCGGCCACACUGGGACUGAGACACGGCCCAGACUCCUACGGGAGGCAGCAGUGGGGAAUAUUGCACAAUGGGCGCAAGCCUGAUGCAGCAACGCCGCGUGAGGGACGACGGCCUUCGGGUUGUAAACCUCUUUUAGUAGGGAAGAAGCGAAAGUGACGGUACCUGCAGAAAAAGCACCGGCUAACUACGUGCCAGCAGCCGCGGUAAUACGUAGGGUGCAAGCGUUGUCCGGAAUUAUUGGGCGUAAAGAGCUCGUAGGCGGUUUGUCGCGUCUGCUGUGAAAACCCGAGGCUCAACCUCGGGCCUGCAGUGGGUACGGGCAGACUAGAGUGCGGUAGGGGAGAUUGGAAUUCCUGGUGUAGCGGUGGAAUGCGCAGAUAUCAGGAGGAACACCGAUGGCGAAGGCAGAUCUCUGGGCCGUAACUGACGCUGAGGAGCGAAAGCAUGGGGAGCGAACAGGAUUAGAUACCCUGGUAGUCCAUGCCGUAAACGUUGGGAACUAGAUGUGGGGGCCAUUCCACGGUCUCCGUGUCGCAGCUAACGCAUAAGUUCCCCGCCUGGGGAAUACGGCCGCAAGGCUAAAACUCAAAGGAAUUGACGGGGGCCCGCACAAGCGGCGGAGCAUGCGGAUUAAUUCGAUGCAACGCGAAGAACCUUACCAAGGCUUGACAUAUACCGGAAACGUCUGGAAACAGUCGCCCCGCAAGGUCGGUAUACAGGUGGUGCAUGGUUGUCGUCAGCUCGUGUCGUGAGAUGUUGGGUUAAGUCCCGCAACGAGCGCAACCCUCGUCCUAUGUUGCCAGCACGUAAUGGUGGGAACUCAUGGGAUACUGCCGGGGUCAACUCGGAGGAAGGUGGGGAUGACGUCAAAUCAUCAUGCCCCUUAUGUCUUGGGCUUCACGCAUGCUACAAUGGCCGGUACAAAGGGCUGCAAUACCGUAAGGUGGAGCGAAUCCCAAAAAGCCGGUCUCAGUUCGGAUUGAGGUCUGCAACUCGACCUCAUGAAGUCGGAGUCGCUAGUAAUCGCAGAUCAGCAACGCUGCGGUGAAUACGUUCCCGGGCCUUGUACACACCGCCCGUCAAGUCAUGAAAGUCGGUAACACCCGAAGCCAGUGGCCCAACCUUUUGGAGGGAGCUGUCGAAG